rnacentral:rRNA from 1 species
GACGAACGCUGGCGGCGUGCUUAACACAUGCAAGUCGAACGGAAAGGCCCUGCUUUUGGGGGGUGCUCGAGUGGCGAACGGGUGAGUAACACGUGAGUAACCUGCCCUUGACUUUGGGGUAACUUCAGGAAACUGGGGCUAAUACCGGAUAGGAUCUCCUGCUGCAUGGUGGGGGUUGGAAAGUUUCGGCGGUUGGGGAUGGACUCGCGGCUUAUCAGCUCGUUGGUUGGGUAGUGGAUUACCAAGGCUAUGACGGGUAGCAGGCCUGGGAGGAUAACCGGCCACGCUAGGACUGAGAUGCGGCACAGCCUCGAAUGGGAGGCAGCGGUGGAGAGUGUUACACAAGAGGCGGGACGAUGAUGUGACAACGCAGCGUGGCGGAUGACAGCCUUCGGGUUGUAAAGCGCUGUCGCCUGUGACGAGACGUUAGUGACGGUAAUGGGUGAAGAAGCACCGGCUAACUACGUG